GAUGAACGCUGGCUACAGGCUUAACACAUGCAAGUCGAGGGGAAACGACGGGGAAGCUUGCUUCCCCGGGCGUCGACCGGCGCACGGGUGAGUAACGCGUAUCCAACCUGCCUCUGACUGAGGGAUAACCCGUCGAAAGUCGGCCUAAUACCUCAUGGUAUCGUCUGCGGGCAUCCAACGACGAUUAAAGAUUUCAUCGGUCAGGGAUGGGGAUGCGUCUGAUUAGCUUGUUGGCGGGGUAACGGCCCACCAAGGCUACGAUCAGUAGGGGUUCUGAGAGGAAGGUCCCCCACAUUGGAACUGAGACACGGUCCAAACUCCUACGGGAGGCAGCAGUGAGGAAUAGUGGUCAAUGGGCGAGAGCCUGAACCAGCCAAGUAGCGUGCAGGAAGACGGCCCUAUGGGUUGUAAACUGCUUUUAUGCGGGGAUAAAGUGAGGGACGUGUCCCUCAUUGCAGGUACCGCAUGAAUAAGGACCGGCUAAUUCCGU
rnacentral:rRNA from 1 species